rnacentral:rRNA from 1 species
UACGAAGGGGGCUAGCGUUGCUCGGAAUCACUGGGCGUAAAGGGUGCGUAGGCGGGUCUUUUAAGUCAGGGGUGAAAUCCUGGAGCUCAACUCCAGAACUGCCUUUGAUACUGAGGAUCUUGAGUUCGGGAGAGGUGAGUGGAACUGCGAGUGUAGAGGUGAAAUUCGUAGAUAUUCGCAAGAACACCAGUGGCGAAGGCGGCUCACUGGCCCGAUACUGACGCUGAGGCGCGGAAAGCGUGGGGGAGCAAACAGGGAUU